rnacentral:rRNA from 1 species
GAUGAACGCUAGCGGCAGGCUUAAUACAUGCAAGUCGUGGGGCAGCAUGAGUGUAGCAAUACAUUUGAUGGCGACCGGCAAACGGGUGCGGAACACGUACACAACCUUCCUAUAAGUGGGGAAUAGCCCAGAGAAAUUUGGAUUAAUACCCCGUAACAUAAUGAUGUGGCAUCACAUUAUUAUUAUAGCUUCGGCGCUUAUUGAUGGGUGUGCGGCUGAUUAGAUAGUUGGCGGGGUAACGGCCCACCAAGUCUACGAUCAGUAGCUGAUGUGAGAGCAUGAUCAGCCACACGGGCACUGAGACACGGGCCCGACUCCUACGGGAGGCAGCAGUAAGGAAUAUUGGUCAAUGGACGCAAGUCUGAACCAGCCAUGCCGCGUGAAGGAUUAAGGUCCUCUGGAUUGUAAACUUCCUUUAUCUGGGACGAAAAAAGGCGAUUCUUCGUCACUUGACGGUACCAGAUGAAUAAGCACCGGCUAACUCCGUGCCAGCCGCCGCAGUAACAC